UACGACUACAUAUCAGGCAUAUCAAUAAGCGGAGGAAAAGAACUAACUAGGAUUCCCUCAGUAACGGCGAGUGAAGCGGGAAGAGCUCAAAUUUGAAAUCUUCAAGGUUUACCUUGACGAAUUGUAGUUUAAAGAAGUGUUUUCUGUUGGAUGUUUUGGUAAAAGUUCUUUGGAAUAGGACAUCAUAGAGGGUGAGAAUCCCGUAUUUGACCAUUACUUCCAGCUGUUGUGAUACACUUUCAAAGAGUCGGAUUGUUUGGGAAUGCAGUCCAAAAUGGGUGGUAAAUUUCAUCUAAAGCUAAAUAUUGGCGAGAGACCGAUAGCGAACAAGUACCGUGAGGGAAAGAUGAAAAGAACUCUGAAAAGAGAGUUAAACAGUACGUGAAAUUGUCAAAAGGGAAGCGUUUGACACCAGGUGUUGUUUUCUCGAAAAUCAAUUAAAAAUGACCGGAUUUUGUGUUGUAUUGACUUUAUCAGCUUUCUGCACUUUUUUCUUGUCUUUUUUAAUGCACUUUUCGUUUAACAAGUCAACAUCAAUUUCUUUUGUUGUAAAAGGGUCAUUGGAAGGUGGCUUUCACUUCGGUGAAAGUGUUUAUAAGCCUUUGACUUCUGCAAUCGGAGAGAUUGAGGUCUGCAGCGUAGAUCCUUCGGGGUUAGAUGCAUUUGUGCUAAGUUAUAGCUUUUCAUAGACUACAUGUUGACUAUGAUUAAGUCAUGUAGCUUACUCGCUUAUGCUAUUUUACCUACGCUUAGGAUGUUGACGCGCGUGUGUGCGUG
rnacentral:rRNA from 1 species